AAAAGUUCCUGCAAAGAAAAGAAAUAAUUCAGUUAAGUACGCAAGAAAAUUAAUUAAAAAAAAAAUUGCAAACGAAAAAUUGAAAAUUACGAUAAAAGAUAAUGAAUAAAACUAAUAAGUAAUCAUUGGUCGUGCUUGUUGACUUUCCACAGCUUUCCUCUUGAACAGGGUGACACUUAGCUUUUCACUUGCAAGUGAUGAUUUUAUGCUAUUGUACUGCGAGGCUUUGCUCUUUGGCGAAGGUGCCCUCCAAAUGUUGUUGAAGCUUCUCGAGUUCUUCAACUCGGACUCCUUGUGCUGGUUUGAUUGUACGAGCUACAUUCUUCUCUGCUUGUUUCCUCUGCAUGGCGGGCAGGCACAAGGUAGCUGUUUUGGUCUGAUUCUUUCUUCAAUCUUUCCAAGUGCCCACCUCUUGCUUUCUUUCUCCUUGUCCCUAGCUGAGGAUGAAUCAGCACGUUGUCUCCACAUGCUUCGAGGUCUCAUUUUCACCUCCCUUACUUGUCCCCCAAGUAGAUGUGGUAGACAAAACGGAAGCAUAAGAUGAAGAAGAUGAGUACUCGAGAGCAAGGCUAGGUAAGCAAUCAGGAAGGGGUUCCAGGCAGUUGGCUCCAGAUCGGAAGAUUGAUACCAAAUGCUGGCUGAUUGCUCUCUUUCUCCUUGUCGGAAAACAAAGACAAGGAGAAGGACAUGGAGAAAGCAUGAUAUGAGAUACUAUUACUUUCAACCUUUAUGAUAUGAAAUACUUUUGCUUUGAAUGGGUUGUUCGCAAGAGUAUCCCAAGGAAUGAGGAACACUGAGUAACUUAGGAGGAUUCUUUUGGAAUGCAUUCUCGGAGAUGAAGAAGUUUUGAGUGAGGCUACUUUGCAAUGAAGUUUAACAUUUAAAGAAUUUUCUUAAUGGCUGGUAGAGGUACUGUUCAAUUAACCCAGGGUUACCGACACGAGUAGAAGAACAGUGCAACGUGCUUUCCCACUUCACCAUAAAUUUUUUUUUUACCAGCUAUUCGUGAUUUCCGCAAAGCAGAUUCUUCAUUGAUAUCUGGAAUCGGCGCAUCGAGCUCUGAGCAUCGUCGAUUGUAGAGGUAGCAUGUGACACGUGCAGAUAAAUCAGGAAAAGAAGAUUUGCCCGUGGGUUGAAGCCCAGCUUUUGAGAAAGCUAGUGUGUCUUUGACUGUUGAAUUUCCCUCUUUGAUUUCUGAAUUGGUGCUUCGACAAACUGCCCGUGAUUUCUGCAAAGCUACCGGUUGCAUGUGACGAGUGACAACACGUCUGGACAAUUGAUCUUGCGAAAUCCGGGGUUCGGCUCGUGGUUUCUGAGCAAGCCCAACUUUUAAGAAAUGAAACGCCUCUUUUGAGAAAAGAAUCCGGCUUUUGAGAAAGGAAACUCCUCUUUUGAGAAAAGAAUCAGGCGUUUGAGAAAUGAGCCCCGACUCUUCGAUUUGCGAGAGGACGCUUCAUCGAUUUCUGAGGAGCGCCUCUUUGAUUUCUUCAUUUUAUAGAGGCGUUAAUUUUGUUCCACAACACACUUGAGCUCCCUCUUGUAAACACUCCCUUCUUGCACUUGUUUAAUCUUGAUCAUUCCGA
rnacentral:lncRNA from 1 species